UUAAAAAUGUGAUUUUUUUUUUUAGUCAUCCCAUGAAGUUGCCAAAAGUUUUAGCAUGCUUAAUUAUUAACAGCAUAUUUUAGUGUUGAGUGAUGAAUGUCUAAUAUUUGUUAAAAUGUUUGCCUAUCACUAUUUAUUACUAAGUUAACACUUUGGGGAUGAUAUUGUCAAUUAUACUUAAAGAAAUUGAGCAACGAGAUGGAAAAUGCAAUGGGUUUUGCAGUAUGUUACAUAAUUGGUUGUUAAAAGUCUUCUCAGUUUUGCUUACAUUAAUGUUAAAUUGCUAUGCAUUCCUUGAGUUCACUAACUAGAUGGUAAGAAGUAGGUGACUAGGAAUGUAGCAGAUGUUUACCUGGAAUUGGUAGAUCCAUAAGUCAGUACUUGAGAAUCAAUUGUAGGUGCAGGGGUGAAUCAUAAGAUGCUAUAAGCUUAGGUGUUCAAGGGUUUUCAACUCAUCUCAAAGUACACAUUCCUUA
rnacentral:lncRNA from 1 species